CUGCAGUGAUUAGAGUUUAGGACGAUUAAGAAGAACCAGUAAAGCUGACUGUGGACAAUGUGGUAGGAGAAAAGCAAGAACAAGAUGGCUCUGGGCAUGAGUCAUGGCUGUACGCUGGGAAGAUUCCGAUGGGAACCUUGCUCUUGCUGGUUGAUCCAUACCUUACAUGGACUUGAGGCCAAAGAGUCACUUUACAUGCAACCUUCAGAUGUCAUUUUCCCAGUGAAAAAUCCCUGCGCCAGAGCAGAUGUUCCUUGGAAGCAACACCGGAGUCUUUCAGGAGCCAAGGUGAAUGAACUGUAAGAUUGAUUCUUGAAGUUUUCCACAUUAAAAACAUUUCUGUCAUUGUCCUUGGCACUGGUUCUAAAAAAGUGU